rnacentral:rRNA from 1 species
GCAACGAGCGCAACCCUUAUCCUUUGUUGCCAGCGAUUAGGUCGGGAACUCAAAGGAGACUGCCAGUGAUAAACUGGAGGAAGGUGGGGAUGACGUCAAGUCAUCAUGGCCCUUACGAGUAGGGCUACACACGUGCUACAAUGGCAUAUACAAAGAGAAGCGACCUCGCGAGAGCAAGCGGACCUCAUAAAGUAUGUCGUAGUCCGGAUUGGAGUCUGCAACUCGACUCCAUGAAGUCGGAAUCGCUAGUAAUCGUGGAUCAGAAUGCCACGGUGAAUACGUUCCCGGGCCUUGUACACACCGCCCGUCACACCAUGGGAGUGGGUUGCAAAAGAAGUAGGUAGCUUAACCUUCGGGAGGGCGCUUACCACUUUGUGAUUCAUGACUGGGGUGAAGUCGUAACAAGGUAACCGUA